AUUGAACGCUGGCGGCAGGCCUAACACAUGCAAGUCGAGCGAGAAAGGUCUUCGGACUGAGUACAGCGGCGGACGGGUGAGUAAUGCGCAGGAAUCUACCUGGUAGUGGGGGAUAACUCGGGGGAAACUCGAACUAAUACCGCAUACGCCCUACGGGGGAAAGCGGGGGACCGUUCGGGCCUCGCGCUAUCAGAUGAGCCUGCGUAGGAUUAGCUUGUUGGUGAGGUAAAGGCUCACCAAGGCGACGAUCCUUAGCUGGUCUGAGAGGAUGAUCAGCCACACUGGAACUGAGACACGGACCCGACUCCUACGGGAGGCAGCAGUAAGGAAUAUUGGUCAAUGGAGGCAACUCUGAACCAGCCAUUCCGCGUGAAGGAUGAAUGCCCUCUGGGUUGUAAACUUCUUUAGUCUGGGAAGAAAACAAUAUAUUCAUAUAUGUCUGACGGUACCAGAAGAAUAAGCACCGGCUAACUCCGUGCCAGC
rnacentral:rRNA from 1 species